UCACCAAGAGGACAAGUGCAGAACUUUCAUCUUUGUGACAUCAAAUUAUGCCCUCCAAGCCAGGCAUGGGGGCACAUACUUGUAGUCCCAGCUGCUUGCAGGCUGAGGCCGUAAGAUGCCAGGUUGGGUAACACAGCAAGACUCUCACUCAAAAAAAAAGAAAAAGCUCCCAGAAAGAAUUCCCAAAGGGAAUCCCGAUUUUUAUAAAAUCAGAAUAUGUUCAAAGUAUACCUUCUCACAUUUACAUUUAAACGUAAUACCCUAACACUUAGCGGGUAUUAGACAAAAGCCGUGACAACUCUAAGGAAGAUGAUGGUGAUUAUAUAAAACUUUAUCUUAAAUGGAUAUUUGGUUUUUUAAAAAGCCAGAGACAAGCUAAACCUACCUAGUAAAGGGUUGGGAGGUGAACCUGGAAGUCCAGGCAUAGUCCACACUCUCCCUAGGAUAGGAAAUUUCCUCUCAAUUUUUAUACAAAAUCUCUUCCGUGAAGCAGCAAUAAACUCCGCAUUAAAGAAACUUCACCAAGAACUCACAGCUCCAUUACAAUGGCUCAGAAGGUGCACCAGGCAGAUGCCAGAGGCCCUCUCCACCCUCCUGAGAGCCUCGGCUCCUGACUCAUCCAGAGGCUGGGGCCACACAGCUCACAAGUGGAAACACCAGUGGAAAGAGACUUCAAAAGAUGCCUCUGUUCCUCCUCCCACCCAGGUUCUCAGUGGAGGGUGCUUGUGACGCAGCCACUGCUGAGACACAGGCAAGCUGUCAGGAGGUCUGCGGCAAGGUGCACUUCCACUCGAAGGCCACUGUUCUCAAAGAGGUCACUGUGCAGACCGGGCACAGAUCCCACCAUUAGUCUGCUCCCUUCAACAAGUCGUGACAGAAGAACCACGCGGUAUCAGCAAAGACCACACAUAUCAGUCAGGAGGCCUGGGUCCAAAUUCAGCUCCAAACUGACCACAGGAGGCGCUGCCAAAGUGAGCUUUCUGAUCAUUUCCACCCAGCCCAUCUGCAGCAGGGAGACAAGGACUCCACCCUGCAGUGCCACUGUGAGCCAAUGAAUAACCCCAAGUGGCAGGAGAUCUUCCUGGACAGAGAUCUCACCAGGCAGGUUCUCAGCUGGUGCCUCUGUCCCCACUGCUCCUGUUCCUGAGUCUGUCCUCGCUGGGAGCACUACAUGGCUGACUCCUUCCACUGUUCAGUGUAAGACUUUGGGUGUUGGUUUGUUUGCUUUUUUCUUUGUUUUGUGGAAUUCUGUACGUGAGAGGUUUUUGAUAAUAAUAUCAAUUUCCUUAAUAGAGUUACUACUUCACACGUGUUUUGUUUCAUCAUGAGUCAAUUUAAGUAUGCUGUCUUUUUCAAGAAAUUUGUCCAGUUUUUAAUGAAAUGGAUUGCCAGUAGUACA
rnacentral:lncRNA from 1 species